AGCCUGUGAGUGUGGCGGAUUGCACGCGACUCUGCGGAGGUCGUAGGCCAGGUUCGACUCCUGGAUGGGCUAC
rnacentral:tRNA from 1 species